GCAGAACAUCAAGCCUCAGUUCUUCGCCUUCCGUUGGCUGACACUACUGAUGUCCCAGGAGUUCUAGUUGCCUGAUGUCAUCCGGAUCUGGGACUCCCUCUUUGCUGAUGACAGCCAUUUUGAUUUCCUCCUCCUGGUCUGCUGUGCCAUGCUCAUACUGAUCCGAGAGCAGUUGCUGGAAGGGGAUUUCACCAUCAACAUGCGGCUCCUGCAGGAUUACCCCAUCACAGAUGUCUGCCAGAUCCUACAGAAAGCCAAGGAACUCCAAGACUCCAAGUAGCCUGGUGUCCCGGAGGCCAGAUUUGGGAGAGCAGCCACCUUCACCUUGUAUCCUGGCUCCCAGGACACAAAAAAGCCCACGAGAUUGCCAGCCUGAAGGGAAGCUGCAGGCUCAGCCAACUCCAGAACUUCGCAUGUUGGCUCCCAUAAUCCGGGAUGCUCCUCAUGGGAACACACUGCUGGGUGCCUUUCCAGCUACCCAGUCCUGGUACACCUGGGAUCCCUUGGCCAGGCUUCUGAACAGGGUUGGAGUUCCCGAACUGGUUUCCUGGAACUGGGACCGUUGGCACAGGAAGCUGCCAAGGGUCUCACCCUGCCUCUGCCCUGUGGCUCCUCAUCCUUUCCUGCUUCUGGUCUCCUGGCACCAGUUGGGGGAGGUGCUUGGCAAAUGGGCCAGAAAACACAUCUGGAAUUCGGUGCUGGAGCUGUGUGGGGAGGUAACACCAAAAGAACUGAGUGACUGCCAA